AUUGAACGCUGGCGGAAUGCUUUACACAUGCAAGUCGAACGGCAGCACGGGUGCUUGCACCUGGUGGCGAGUGGCGAACGGGUGAGUAAUACAUCGGAACGUACCCAGUCGUGGGGGAUAACGUAGCGAAAGUUACGCUAAUACCGCAUACGUCCUGAGGGAGAAAGCGGGGGACCGUAAGGCCUCGCGCGAUUGGAGCGGCCGAUGGCGGAUUAGCAAGUUGGUGGGGUAAAGGCCUACCAAGGCGACGAUCCGUAGCGGGUCUGAGAGGACGGCCCGCCACACUGGAACUGAGACACGGUCCAGACUCCUACGGGAGGCAGCAGUGGGGAAUUUUGGACAAUGGGCGAAAGCCUGAUCCAGCCAUUCCGCGUGAGUGAAGAAGGCCUUCGGGUUGUAAAGCUCUUUCGGCAGGGAAGAAACGGCUUGGGAUAAUACCCCGGGCUAAUGUCGGUACCUGAAGAAGAAGCACCGGCUAACUACGUGCCAGCAGCCGCCGUAA
rnacentral:rRNA from 1 species